UUACGCACAAAUCAGGAAUUAUACACAAACAAAUCGGGGUGGUACUUAUUUCUCCAGAUAAUAAAUCUUCAGAGGGAGUUCCAACCACUGAGGGGAGGAUGAAGAACUCUUGGAAAAAUGUUUUAUUUUUCUUCAUAUAAAAGAAGAGAUUCAGCCAGGCUCCUUGCGCCGUCUCCGCGUAGCUCUGGAUGUGUUCCCAUAUGAAGCUGUUUUCUGCCUCAUCCAUGACGGAGAGAAGCUCCGCCCCAACUAGAAAGACAGAGAGGAGGAAGAAUUUUGCGCAACAUCCUGCAGCCUAAGACUAUGCAAGCUGAAGGCGUAGCAGUUGUUUCUGAAGUGGACCCAUGACCACUGUCCCACAGAGUGGGGGCAUUGUCCGGGAU